ensembl:lncRNA
GCUGGUGGCACCGUGUUUACAGUGAUUGGUUCACGAUGACUCAAGGGCAGCAGAUGACACUUAGGAUGACUGGCAUUUUCAUCAGUUCAGUGACUCGAGCUCUGUUAUGACUGUAUUAUUACACGGCAAAGGAUCGUACAGGAAGCAACUUGGACUUUUUUCUUUUGCUUGAGGUUCAACGUCCUGGUCACUGGUCUUGAAACUCAGUUCAGAGAUUGAUGGUACAAUAUAGUUUCAAGUUUUAGUAUCAUGAGCUGUGACAUUUUCUCCAAGGUGAAUGACAAUGAGAGGUUUGCACAAUAAGCUACUUCUAAUGACUGACCCAUUUAUACAGCAGGGUAAUUUUUACAGUAUCAAUCUAGAGUAAGUACCUUGACCAGCAAGGGUACUACAGCCAGAGGUGGGGAUCAAACCUUUGGCAAAGGCAGUAGCUCUACCACCAUGCAACCAGCUGCCCCGUAAUAAUAAUAAUAAUAAUAAUAAUAAUAAUCAUCAUCAUCGUCGUCGUUAAGCAGUAUAAUAGGUAGGUUGCGUGUUCCCCAAGCGCUUGAGCCCCCAACUCAAUUCGUUCAGGCGCGUACAACACUGACGAUGAACUUUCUCAGUGGAGUGACGUCAUCAGCCCCGAUGCGCCCCGAUUGGUUCCGAUGUGCCCCGAUUAGCCCCGAUCCGCCCCGAUGUGCCCCUCCACAGGUGAUUGGUGGCCUCGGCCGUCCAAUGGCGCAGAGACUCCCUUUCAUCCUCAAACUUGUUCCCCGUCGGCCGAGGGUCCCUGUGUCUCCGACUGCUUCUCCGUCUUCUCGGACCCGGGGCCGCCGGCUGGGACCCCUCCUCCCUCCCUCCCUCCCGCCAGGCAGAGCCGCCGCUCGCCGCGCCGGACGCUGGCGGAGCCCGAUCUGUGAGUGUGACACGUUGCCGAGGAAGGGCGCGACAACGUUGAGGCAACAUUGUAUCAACAUCCGCACAACGUUGUUAUCAUGUAUCCGCGCGGCGUCCGCCGGUCGCGCGCUGCGAGCCGCAUCGCUCGAGACUCCGCGCUGCGUGCGGUGGAUCAUGGGCGCAGUCCAGCGUGGCGGAGCCAUGGGGUCUGGACCGCACGGCUGACGAGUCUCAUCUGCGUGUUCCGUCCACUGGUUUGAUGGAGUGUUUCGCGUGGCCCCGUCUGACCCUGCGUGACACGGCAGAGCGGCAACCCACUUCCGGUCCCUACCUGGGUGCUGUGGCUGUGGAGGGGUCGCCGAGGUCGAGGAAGCGGAGCAGGCGUGAACGCAACGACUCGGUGACCUGCUCGUGGGACGACUUGUCAGCAGGAAGGUGGACGUAACCAAACUCACCUGCUGGAGUGUACCCCCCCCACCUCAGCCUUGCGCCGGGUGGUUCUCGAAUAGGCUCUGGACCCCCACGACCCUGACCAGAACUAGUGUUUAAUGAAGAUGGACGGAUGGAUGUGUUUUUUUUUUUUUUUUUUUUUUUUUUUUAAGUUUGCUGGAUGGUGUAUGAUGAUUUUCCCCACAUGGUUUGUGGGGUGGAUUGCAUGGUGUUUUCCCCUGGUUUGCAUUUAUUCAGGGUGGUUUGCUAGGUGUUUUUCAGUUUUUUUUUUUUCUUCUCUCUCCUGCCAGAUGGUUUAGUUAGUUAGUUAGUUUGGGAAAGUAGGUGCUUUGUAUGGGGGUGUUCCACAGUAUUUAGCUGGGUAGUUUGCUGGGUGGGUUACUUGGUUUGCGAAGUGUUUCUACUGAGUUAUUUGCCAAGUCCCCCCGUCCCCCCCCCAGUUGAUUUGUGAUUGGUUUACUGGGUGUUUUUGAAAUGUGUGUGUUGAGCUGUGCGUAGAGCUCAGCAUUACGGGACAGGAAGCCCACGGGCAGGCGGCAGCAGGCCAGUUGUGCUCUUCGCUGCCCCAUAAUGCCAAGCUCUACGCACAGCUCAACGCACGCGUUUCAGGACCGAGAUCCAAGACUAGGACCAUCCGCCGUACUUUGAAAAUGAAACAUCCAAGAACACGACAUGAGUGGGUGUCCAGCUCAUCGCCCGGCUCCAGCCGGUGUGUUUCGGUGCCUUUCCCUUCCCCCCCCCCCCCUUGUGGCGGAGGAGUUUCUCUGAAAGAAAA